rnacentral:rRNA from 1 species
CCUACGGGCGGCUGCAGUGGGGGAUAUUGGGCAAUGGGCGCAAGCCUGACCCAGCAACGCCGCGUGAAGGAAGAAGGCUUUCGGGUUGUAAACUUCUUUUCUCAGGGACGAAGAAAGUGACGGUACCUGAGGAAUAAGCCACGGCUAACUACGUGCCAGCAGCCGCGGUAAUACGUAGGUGGCAAGCGUUAUCCGGAUUUAUUGGGGGUAAAGGGGGUGGAGGGGGGGGCGCAAGUCAGAUGUGAAAACUCAGGGCUCAACCCUGAGCCUGCAUUUGAAACUGUGUUUCUUGAGUGCUGGAGAGGCAAUCGGAAUUCCGGGUGUAGCGGUGAAAUGCGUAGAUAUACGGAGGAACACCAGUGGCGAAGGCGGAUUGCUGGACAGUAACUGACGCUGAGGCGCGAAAGCGUGGGGAGCAAACAGGAAUAGAUACCCGAGUAGUC